CAGAUAUACAAAAUAGCUAGAUAUAAACCAGAGUCAUCUGAAGCUACAUAAGAUAUGCAUUGUUAUAUACUUUAUGUAUGGAUCAAAUUUAGUAUAUUAGUCAGAACAUGGAUUGAAGAGAUCCUUUGUGUAUCUGCAAGAAUAAGAAAGCAUUUUCCUCUAUUGUUAUAUGUUGAUAGCUUAAAGAGGUCAGGAGUGAUUACAUGAAAUUUACUGACAAUGUAAAACUUUAUAGUAAUUGUUAUGAAGAUAUAUUGUGCAGUAAUCGUGAUAAAUUAAAUAUGCUCUGGAUAUAAUUUAAUAGGGAUCACCAUUGGGCUUAUGGGGAUUGUGGUCUUUUGAAUGGAGGGACUGAGUGGGUUCAAUACAAGAUAUUUGGUGGUUGUUAAGGGAUUGAAGCCUUACGACAUUGAAGUCUAAUUUUGAUAAACACCCUCAACCACUAACACUUCUUUUUUCUUUCCAUUGGCUGGAUUUUUUUAUUUGUUUUCAUUUCAAAUUCAUUGGGGCUUUGAAACCAGUUAUUUGAUGUUCUUUCAUUUUAAUUUACAGGCCUUCUUUUCUAUUCUUGAAGUGGUAACAUCUUCAACUUUGUUACCAUAUUGUGUAUUUUCACUGAUUUCUCCAAUGUCUGGUCCUGCUUCAGCAAAUUCGAAGCUUAUGCGCUGGAAAAGAAGCAUGAAAGAUCAGAGCAAGUGUUAUCAGAAAGGGAACUCCAUAGUUGGCAAUUAUGAUCUUGAUUUUGCUGAAGGACUGUCGGCCAGUGGGUUAGGUGAGAACAAGAAUGAGGACAGUAAAAACUUGAAGGAGAAGGAGGAAGAUCCACAGUCGAUUGUAAGGAGGACAGUAGACAGUUUAUCCUGAGGUGGAAGCUUGAAACUAGAUAUCUUACCUCCAAUUUUCCCAAUUCAGGUAUCACCUGCAUCUAAAAUUUAAGUCCUGCAUUGUCUCUGCUGCUCCUUGGGCAUGUCCCUAUUACAUUACCUAAAAAUAAAAUAAAUAAAAUCUUGAUAUAAAGUACUGCAUAUAUUAACAUGUAAUAUCUAAGUGUCACGUUUAGAACUGCAUUUCACGUGUCACAUGUGUAUCCAGGUUUUCUAUUUUUAUUGACAUUUUGAUUUUUGAUAUAGCCAAAUGGCAUAGUGUAAUUAUUUUAUUUUUCAUUUGUAUUGUAGAUACUUCUCAUUGCAAUGGUAAUCUUUGGGUGACAACGGAACAAUAUGUCUUUCAAACUUCUGCCUCAUUAGGCAUGUAUAAUUUGCUUUAUCUUCCUAUGUUCAUUUCCUUACAUGUUUUUAAUGAAACUUUUUUCUCCAUGAAAUGCAGAUAUACAAAAUAGCUAGAUAUAAACCAGAGUCAUCUGAAGCUACAUAAGAUAUGCAUUGUUAUAUACUUUAUGUAUGGAUCAAAUUUAGUAUAUUAGUCAGAACAUGGAUUGAAGAGAUCCUUUGUGUGUCUGCAAGAAUAAGAAAGCAUUUUCCUCUAUUGUUAUAUGUUGAUAGCUUAAAGAGGUCAGGAGUGAUUACAUGAAAUUUACUGACAAUGUAAAACUUUAUAGUAAUUGUUAUGAAGAUAUAUUGUGCAGUAAUCGUGAUAAAUUAAAUAUGCUCUGGAUAUAAUUUAAUAGGGAUCACCAUUGGGCUUAUGGGGAUUGUGGUCUUUUGAAUGGAGGGACUGAGUGGGUUCAAUACAAGAUAUUUGGUGGUUGUUAAGGGAUUGAAGCCUUACGACAUUGAAGUCUAAUUUUGAUAAACACCCUCAACCACUAACACUUCUUUUUUCUUUCCAUUGGCUGGAUUUUUUUAUUUGUUUUCAUUUCAAAUUCAUUGGGGCUUUGAAACCAGUUAUUUGAUGUUCUUUCAUUUUAAUUUACAGGCCUUCUUUUCUAUUCUUGAAGUGGUAACAUCU
rnacentral:lncRNA from 1 species